UUAAGUGUUAUACGUGCCACCAUCUAUGUCCAUAUCUUCAUGCCUUCAUGAAAGACCACCAUUUUAUAGUGCAGAAAAAGGGAAGCAAAAAACUUCAGGUAUUAUCAUCAACACAGAGACUGAAAGGUAAUUUUCCAGUUUACAAGGAACUGCAAUCAAUCUGUUCUCACAUGAGAAAAAGAGAUACUUCCCCAAGGACAUGUGAAACAUCACCAAUGUGAAAAUAGACCCUUCGAAAUAGAUCCUUGAGAAAUAAGGCGUUUAUUGCUACUGGAGCUGGCUGCUUGGUUCCAUUUCAAGCCCAC